CAGCCGCCGCGGUAAUACGAAGGGUGCAAGCGUUACUCGGAAUUACUGGGCGUAAAGCGUGCGUAGGUGGUGGUUUAAGUCCGUUGUGAAAGCCCUGGGCUCAACCUGGGAAUUGCAGUGGAAACUGGAUCACUAGAGUGUGGUAGAGGAUAGUGGAAUUUCCGGUGUAGCAGUGAAAUGCGUAGAGAUCGGAAGGAACAUCUGUGGCGAAGGCGACUAUCUGGGCCAACACUGACACUGAGGCACGAAAGCGUGGGGAGCAAACAGGAUUAGAUACCCGCGUAGUCCCUGUCUCUUAUAA
rnacentral:rRNA from 1 species